GCUCAUGUAGCUCAGUGGUAGAGCACACCCUUGGUAAGGGUGUGGUCGACGGUUCGAUUCCGUCCAUGAGCU
rnacentral:tRNA from 1 species